UUAUGGCCAUAUCGCAGUGAAACACUGGUUUCUAUACAAUCUCCAAUGUUAAGCAACAUCGAGCCUGGUCAGUACCUCAAUGGGUGACCACUUGGGAAUACCAGGUAGUGU